CCCAAACUGGGAUUAGAUACCCCACUAUGCCUAGCCAUAAACAUAAAAAUUUUAUAACAAAAAUUCUCGCCCGAGAACUACUAGCUAUAGCUUAAAACUCAAAGGACUUGGCGGUGCUUUACACCCACCUAGAGGAGCCUGUU
rnacentral:rRNA from 1 species